CGGAGGGUGCAAGCGUUAUCCGGAUUCACUGGGUUUAAAGGGUGCGUAGGCGGGCAGGUAAGUCCGUGGUGAAAUCUCUGAGCUUAACUCAGAAACUGCCAUGGAUACUAUUUGUCUUGAAUAUUGUGGAGGUAAGCGGAAUAUGUCAUGUAGCGGUGAAAUGCUUAGAUAUGACAUAGAACACCAAUUGCGAAGGCAGCUUGCUACACAGUUAUUGACGCUGAGGCACGAAAGCGUGGGGAUCAAACAGGAUUAGAUACCCUGGUAGUCCACGCCCUAAACGAUGAUUACUCGACAUCAGCGAUACACUGUUGGCGUCUGAGCGAAAGCAUUAAGUAAUCCACCUGGGAAGUACGACCGCAAGGUUG
rnacentral:rRNA from 1 species